rnacentral:rRNA from 1 species
CCUACGGGGGGCUGCAGUGGGGAAUAUUGCACAAUGGAGGAAACUCUGAUGCAGCAACGCCGCGUGGAGGAUGACGCAUUUCGGUGUGUAAACUCCUUUUAUAGGGGAAGAUAAUGACGGUACCCUAUGAAUAAGCACCGGCUAACUCCGUGCCAGCAGCCGCGGUAAUACGGAGGGUGCAAGCGUUACUCGGAAUCACUGGGCGUAAAGGAUGCGUAGGCUGGAAAUCAAGUCGAAAGUGAAAUCCAACGGCUUAACCGUUGAACUGCUUUCGAAACUGGUUACCUAGAAUAUGGGAGAGGUAGAUGGAAUUAGUGGUGUAGGGGUAAAAUCCGUAGAUAUCACUAGGAAUACCGAUUGCGAAGGCGAUCUACUGGAACAUUAUUGACGCUGAGGCAUGAAAGCGUGGGGAGCAAACAGGAUUAGAUACCCCAGUAGUC